CUUGAAUUCCUCGUAGUCCUGUUUAAUUUCAUCUUUUUGUCUGGUGCAGUUUUAGGAUUUAGAGGACAGGAUCAUCAUCUGAUUUUGAAAAGGAUUUAAAAAUUGUCCUCUCUCUGUCUUUACCAGAGUUAGAGAAGCUCCUUAGAAACGUGGGUGUCUGUCAUGUAGGCACAGAAAGGAAAAAGUCUUAUACACUGGCUAUACUGUGCAGCUGCCUCAGAUGGUACAGGACAACAGACAAAGAGCUUCCUUUCCUGAAGAAAGACUAAUCCAGUCUGCAUUUUUAAAUUGUAAAGAAAAAUAUCUGAUAAAAGUGAUACUUAAGGAAUGUUUCUGUAGGUUGUGGAAAUGAGAGGGGUAUUGGUUCUGUUUCGGGGAUUAGGGUGGGGUGGCCACUUUCAUCAACUAAAACUGAAAAUUGGAAUUCAGUUGCCUGAAAGACUGGUGAGAUUCAAACUGGGCUCUAACUGUUAUAGCUACAAGGCUGCUG
rnacentral:lncRNA from 1 species